UCUAAAAGAGUGUCUGCCACGUUACUGGCUUGCCCCCUUCGGGUAGACACACCCACACAGUGAGUCUGCAUUGUCCAGAUGGAGUCACUACAGAUGCGGUGGGUGGAGUGCCCUCUGCUGGACGCUGCUAAUCUCGUUCUUCACCCGCCAUCCAGCAGCGAAGACGAUGACGAUGAUGACCCUAUCGACCUUCUGAACCGGCGCGAGGGGCACUGCUCCGCAGUCGUGUACCCGACAAUGCCCAUCGACGUGUCCGCGGCAUCGCCGCGCGAGUCGUGGGUGCUCGUGUGCGGUGGCUACUCCAAUGGGAGCGUUUCUGCGACCCCGCUGGUGGCACGCACCGCCCUCCUGCCUGCGCUUCAGUGGGUGCGACUGCCGCCUGUGGACGCGCUCGAGUGUGACGGUGCCACACUGACCACGGUGGUGUCGGCGGUUGGCGUUGACGCGACGCCAGCCACAGCGACCGCUGCUUCGGCAUCGUCCUGCGUCUGCACUACUGCAGCCCCUGUCGCCUACCUGUUUGGCGGGCUUGGCUCUGACAUGAACCGACGCAACACACUGUACGCCGUCGCCUUGCAUGUCGACGCAGACGCAACGCCUGUGAUGGUGCAGGUGGACGAGGUGCACUGCAUCGGCACCCCGCCCGAGGCACGUGUGCGGCACGGUGCUGGCGGACACGCUGGUCGCCUCUACAUCUUUGGAGGCGAAACGGACACCCAAGAGCAGUCCAGCGACCUGUACGUGUGCGACGUGCAAGCGGGAGUGUGGCGAGUCCUCGCCUCACCUUCGUCACUGCCGUCUCCGGCGCCGCGGCUGCUGUCGCUGAGUCUGCUGUUUGUGGCACCGACAACGUUUGUACUCUACGGCGGCGCGCAUUUCGUGAAUGGUGACCUGCGCAGCUUUUCCGACGUGUGGAGGUUUGACCUCGCCACGGAGGCGUGGUCGGUGGUGGUGCCUCCACAACCCGAUGAUGGUACACCCGGGGAAGAGGAGUGGCACGCUGAUGUCCCGCAACGCGUCUUGCCACCGUCAAACGGCCAUGCCGGCGGUGUGUUCGCGCUGCGGCUAUCUGACAGCGCGACGUACGUGUGCGCUGCUUUUCUGGGUGGCAAGAACAUAUCCGAGGGCAAUGACGCCGUCAAGCUCGUCUGCUGCCACCUUCAGGCAAACACAAUGGAGGCUCACGCGCGCUGUGCGACACCGGCAGUGGUGAGUGGGAAGCUACCUCACUGGCGCUACACACCGACUGUGGUGCACACAGAGAAGGGCCUGCUGCUGCUGGCUGGCCAGUGCCGUCAUCCCCAGACACCGUCCGCGUUUCUCCUCACCGUGUCUAUCGGCAGCGCCGGAGGGGGGUGAGAGUGAUCCCUCUUUUUCUCCAGAGUCAAGGCGAAAGGCGCCCCCUAAUGACGCGGGGAACACCCCGGCGUGGUAUGUGUCAGGGCCCUGUGCACCCCGCACUCUCUGUGGAGAAGCCGAGCCGCCGCCGUCCCCCUAUCCCUGCCAAUGCCGAGCCACCGCACCUGGCCCCGACAGGGUCCAGCGCCUGCGACACGGGGAGGCCAGUGUGAUGCAUCGCUACGGAUGCCGGCGGUCAGGUCCUGGAUGGCGCUGCGUGAGAGCCACCGGCAACAGUGGAGAUGUUUGCACCAUGGGUAUGCUCGGCAGAGUGUCAGCGUGGCUCGAGCGUGUGUCGCUCGGCGCAACGGGAGCGGCUGUGAGGCUGCCUGCGGAGCGGGGGUGGGGUGGGUGGGGGGACAGGAGCCGUGCUCAGAUGGACGAGUCGGCGCAUCGCUGUAACGCGCGUCUACCGCUGCUUCACGCCACGUGAUGGGUGGCCUGUGACGGGCCUGGGGUGUAGAGUGGCAUUCAGCUCAUGCUGUGCGGCAGAGAACGAACGCGUUAAAAUGAAAAAAAAAAUGAGAAAAGACGUUCUCGUCGCCGUGCGACGGCUGCUGGUGUGGUCGUCAUCGGCACGUGCGCGCCUCUUCCGUGCGCUUUCGCUUCUCGACGUUGCUUUCACGUGGGUUCAUCAGCCCUCCAGUGAAAGGGGCGAGUGUGUGUGUGCGUGUGUGCGAGAGGGCGAGAGGCUGCCGAUCGAACAACAAGAAAAGCAAAACUCUUCGCUUCCAUGCCCUUUUUCUCACUGAUAUCCCACUGAGUUGAUAUGCCACUCACGCGCCUUUGGCCGACAUUGAGGACAAAACGGUUAUACGGCCGUCGACAGUGUGGAACAACGUGUGGAGGCGGCGCGAUGGGAGGAGGGGGGUCCGCUGCCCCAUAGAGGGCGCGCGUUGCUUUUUCUGCAGCGGCACACCCCCACGCCUCUUUGCUCUUUUUAUGCCAUCGCUUUCCCUUGCUUUUCCCACUCGCACUCCCCGAACGGCUCUCCAUCUCGUUUCUGCCUUCUUUCGCCCCUCACAUGCUCCGCCGCGUCUCGUCAACCUGGCGUUUCAGCGACAG
rnacentral:misc_RNA from 1 species